ACUGUAAUAAGCCACAAUAGUCCAGAGUCCAUUUUUGGCCUGUGAAUUUCCAGCGGCCAUCUAACUACCAUUCCACAGAGGGGUUCCUUCAUCUCCCUCUACAAAGACCACACGAGUUCUUUUCUGUGCUGCAAUCCACAUUUGCAGGGUUGCUGGUCCAAACUAAAUUCAACGUGUAGUUCUAUGAGUACUGUUGAUUUUGAGGCAAAAGAUUUCUGCAGAGUUCAGCAAUGGUAAGCUGUAGCCGAUGUUAUUUGCACAGGUCAAUCAGGGUUGUCAACUUCGUUAUUAAUGCUAUUGGAGUUGCAAUGAUCGCAUACUCUCUUUGGCUGCUGAAGAAGUGGGAAGAGGGGGUUGAUGAGUUGGAUCUUGCAUCACCUGUUCCUACACCUUGGUUUAUCUAUACAUGUUUAGGUGUGGGAAUCGUUGUCUGCUUGAGCACACUAUUGGGACAUUCAACUGCUAACUGUAUCAGCAAUUCUGUCCUCGCCGUGGUAUCCUCAUAAAAGUUGCUUCUGAUGUUUAAACAACUCGUUAUCUUUUUUUGCAGCGCCAUGUGAAACUAAAAAUCCUUUCUGACCCUGUCAAGACCUUUGAAGAAUAGAAUUAUGAUGUAGGGAAGAAAUCAUUUUAAGAUUCGUGUCUAAAUAAAGAUCAAAACAUCUUGUCAUUCAUUAUGCAUCAUAUAUGCAUAUUGUGGAUCAAAACAUCAUGUUAUUCAUUAUGCAUCAUAUAUGCAGAUUAUGUUAUCUUAACUAUGCCUCAGUAUAUUGUUUCCAUAUGCUCUCUUCUUCUUGUCCAAGCUGUUAUCAUUGUCACAGUCUUCUACAAGACCAACUGGGAAAUGAUGAGAACCAUGAAGAGUUCAAGAAUUUUGUUCUCUUUCAUGUGGAAAUGUGUCGUCUGAUUUCAAUCUCAGUUUUGGUAGCCCAGCUGAUUGUUGCUUUGCUUGCUGGCAUCCUAUGGGCAGUAGGAUGUGAACCAAACCUUCAUUGCAGCAGCUCUGAUCCCCCAAACUUUACAUACUCAUUUUUGGAUGAUCGUACUUCAUCAUUAAGUGACUGUACCAGAUUACCUGAAAGGUCUUUCCAGGUUCAUAAUAUCGGACAAACGCUAAGAAAUUCAUUCGCCUAAUUCAAGCUGCCAAAGUGAACUCAACUAUCUGGCUGCAAGAAAAUCCAGAUUCAUGGAGUGGUUUAUAAACAGAGAAACAAGAAGAGAAUGCUUUGAGUCGACUAACAAGCAAACUUGAAUAGACUUUGGUUUGAAGUUACUGAUAACAUGCAAUUUUGGAAGUGAUGCUGGUUGCACUGUGUUAAUAAUCCAUGUAGUGUUGUCUAAUUUUCCAUUUCUCUUUAGCCAUACAGCCCUGCUUACUAACCUGUCACUUGCAGGGGACUGUUGCCACCUACUUUCCAUUUUCUUAAUCACACAAAUGCCCAAAAAACCUUCAAUAUUUUGACAGUUUCAGCAGUCGAUGUGAUGUUGAAACUCAAGAAUUGUCAAUCUAGUCUCUUGAAUCUGGCGCACCAUACAGUAGCCAUCCAUUAGUGCAGUAUAGGUAACUUCAUCAGAACUCUGACCUCAUUGAAUCAUUCCAGAGGAUGUCCAUUCUGCAAUCUGGAAAAAUGGAUUUCUUUGUCCAACACCAUUUCAUGUACCAGCUUCUCCAGUUGUACCAUAUCCCUUUUGACACCAGCACUUUAGGGACUCUGACAAUAAAAUGAUCAAUCAUCGAUCGCUUUAAAUAGUUCUUUAUGGCACAUGGAGCAAAUACUUGAAGCAUAUCAAGCAGAGUAGGGGUUGUUUCCUUCUGCGAAAGCCAAAUCCAGCAGCAUGGACGCGGUGUAAGAAUCAGGUGAGAACCCUUUGUCAAGCAUUUCCUGAAAAUGCAUUUUUGUCUCAAGAUAUUCAACCCCUUUAAGAAAUCCACGAACAAUAGUAUUCUGUAUAAGAUCAUUUGGCAAGCAUCUGUCUUCUUUCGUUUUCAUGAAA